GCCGUACCCACAGCAUAUGGAGGUUCCCAGGCUAGGGGUCAAAUCGGAGCUACAGCUGCCGGCCUACGCCACAGCCACAGCAAUGCCAGAUCCGAGCCUUGUCUGCUCCUUACACCACAGCUCAUGGCAACAGAGGCCAGGGAUUGAACGCACAUCCUAAUGGAUCCUAGUUGGAUUCAUUUCUGCUGUGCCACAAUGGGAACUCCCCUUCCUUUUUCCAACGGUUGAGUGUCUCCUGGGAUAUGCAUGCUCUGUUCCAUUUCUUUCUUUUUUUAAACAGACCCAGAGUCCCAGAAGAAGUUAGAUGUUGUGCUUACAAACUGCAUACACAUGGGCAUCAUGGAAGUGCAAAACUCCAAUAAAGAAAUAAGCACAUGGUUUCUUAGUUCAUUUUUUAUGUUAAUGAUGAAAGUGCAGGUAAGAAAAUAAGAACUAGCCUUAAGGACAUAUAAGUGAUGGAAAGAGAAGGAAAAUUCUAGGUGGAGCCCAGAGAAGUUAUCAUUCUCUUCCUAUCAACAUUGGGUGGAUGUGCAGGCCCCUUGCUUUAUAGCAGCAGAACAAAAUAAAAUGACUGAUGAUCAAAGAAACUCACAGAUGCCUACAGAAUUAAAUUAUCAACCCACUUUGACAUUUUGCAAGUAUAAAUAGAAACAGAAAUAACUAGAGGUGUAGAAAUAGUUGAAGAAGCCCCUCAACAUUAAAUUCUAAACUUCAAAUUUGAAACACCUAGAGAUUGGGGUUUCUCUGUAAUCUAUAAAUCAGCCUUGAUUCAAAGAAAUAGCCAGGCUGGCAUGGGGGAGCAACUUUAGAUCUGGCCAGCACAGGACCUGGGGAGGCUCAGUAGAGACCCACUAUCUGUUAAUAAGGAAGAAGACCCAAAACAGAGCCAGGACAAAUAAUUCUGUCAUUUUAAUGUCAAAAGUGUCCAACCAUUCUUUAUUGUGAAAAGGAUACAUAAUUAAGCUGUAUCUUUAUAUUAUUAUUUUUUUUUUACUAUUUGGCAUAUUAUUCAUUCCCAGUGAUGUUUCAUUUCUCCUCAAAUGAUUCUUUUGCAACCUUUAGAAAGCCCUGCAAUUUCCUUUUCAUUUGGCCGAACGUGGCAGACACAGGAGGGAGAGCUUCUAAAUCCUGUUGCUCAGAAUAUGGCUUUUUUUUUUUUUUUUUUUUUUUUGUCUUUUCAGGGUCGCACCCACUGCAAAUGGAGGUUCCCAGGCUAGGGGUCUAAUCGAAGCUACAGCUGCCAGCCUACACCAGAGCCACAGCAACGCCAGAUCUGAGCCACGUCUGUGACCUAUAGCACAGCUCAUGGCAAUGCCUGAUCCUUAACCCACUGAGUAAGGCCAGGAAUCGAACUCAAAACCUCGUGGUUCCUCGUGGUUUCUGCUGCGCCACAACGGGAACUCCCAGAAUAUGUUUAAAAAAAAAAAAAAAAGCAGGACCCCAGACAGGUGUGUAACUGUUUGAAUGGGCUAUCUCUUAUACAACUAGGAAUAAGACCUACUUGGAAGAAGUUUUGCUCUAGAAACUGUUGAUGCUCUUGACUUAUUGAGGGGAGUUCCAUAAAAUGGCCAUUACCAACUGUAUAAGACAAAACUCGUGUUAGCUCGAAGGUUAGUCCCUGUUUUAAAAUCCCAAAAAAGAUAAACCCUAUUAUGGGCCAUUUCCACUUUCCCCACUGCUUCCCUGACAAGAGGUAAUGUGGGUCUGAGGAGGAAACUGAAGAUUCAUGGCCCAAAUAGAGCAGAAGUCUUGUCUUGUGUAACUGCCCAAAUGCUAAUACAAACUCAUUGUUGCUCAAUUUGUUCUUUAAAAGCUGUGCUUUAUUCUAUUAACUUUGAUUUGCCCUCUUAGCUUCUGUCAUUUUUCCAUACUGGACUGUCCUGGCAAUCCUCCUCACCUUUCUGUCUGGGUUUCAGUCUCUGACAGGGGCUCUGUGCCUAGGUCUCCCUGCCAGGAUCCAUCUGGCCCAUCGGUAACUAACAGUCAUCUUAGCCUUGUCCAGUGGUGAUAGCUUCACCCGUAGAUUUAACUGAGACAAAACUGAACAACUUACCAUAAAUAUCGGAGUCAAGAAAAAAUUAUUAGGAGACUAGGCGUACAUAAGUUUAGAUAAAAACAGAGAAGGCAGGACGACAGUGUGGUCCAAGUAAUUUUCUCUGUGCAAAGAUGCCUUCUAUUUAGUAUAACUAAACACAUUACUUCUGGGGAAAAAAAAAAACAACAACAAAAAUUCACACUCCAAAAAAGGGAGAAAAACUAGUAUUGAGAGCAAUUAUGAGUAUGACUUAAAAUGUCACUUUUCAUCUGUUGUACAGGAGAGUAAAUAUCAUGAAAACUUAACCAUGAUAAGGAAAAAAAAAACACUUAACCAUGAUGAAAUAUUUGUCAAACAGUAUUUGUUCCUAUAUUAAGAAAUUAAUACCCACAUGCACAACUUUGAGUUGAUAGAAACUAAAAACUUAAGGUAAUAGAAUUAAGGAUUUCAUUUUCCUUUUUAGAGUUUUAUAUAUUUUUCAAAUUUUUUGGAAAGGCGUUUUGGAAAUAGAAAAAAAAAAAAAGGUCUAAAGCUAAAAACUCUUUAACGUAAUUUUUCUUACUGAAUAGUUAUUAUCCUGUUCAUGAGACAUGACCAUAAUAACUCAAAGCCACUAUUUUUUUUUUUUUUUAAUUUGGUUGAACCUGCAGCAUGCAGAAAUUCCCAGGCCAGGGACUGAACCCAUGCCACUGUAGCAACCACAACCACUGCAGUGACAACAUUGGAUGCUUAAACCACUGAGCCAUAUGGGAACUCCUCAAAGUUACUAUUGACUUCAUCAGGAUGAGGCUAGCUAUGUGCUUAAGUAAUAAUUGAAGUAAGGAUGAGAAAUAAAUUUUACGGAAAGUAAGAAUAAUACUAUGCCUUAUCUAUAAGAUCCCAAACCAGAAUAUAUUUGAAAAUAUUUGAGUGACUGACUUUUUUUUUUUUACUUUUCGUCUUCAUUAGUGAUACUAUGCAGCUAUCUAUAGUUUGGUAUCUCUAACCACCAGAUAACAGUUGUGAUGACCAAAAAUGCCUCUAGACACUGCCAAAUGUCCUCUGGGGUAGGAGAGAAAUCACCCCUGGUUG
rnacentral:lncRNA from 1 species